AGAAGCACUAAUCUGAUAUUCUAGCAAUAUGUUGUGUGGUAGGUGUACGUUCACAUGGAAUGUGCUUUCUCUUGUAAUAUUUUCAUAUUUUUAAUUUUUAAGACAUUAUUUGCUGAUUUUUACAAAACAGGAAUGCAUUCCAACACAAUGCAGGUGUCACUUGGAACAUCUUUGGAAGCAGAAAAUCUUAUGUGAUUUGGGGAUGCUUCUUGGUCAUCUCUAAGCAAAAGUUCUAGAUAUGUCUUUUCUCGAGCGUAAGGACAAAUGUGAGUCUGUUCUGAAGCCAAGGAUUUUACUGUAGCUCUUUGUUGACAGAGACCAAGGGCAUUUCCUCAGCUGUAGAGCCAGACAACCUGAUAUGAAAUGUGCCAAUGCAAAAAUAUCUGACAGGCUGAUGUGCAUCAGUUUUAAUGAUGUCACACGCUCCAGAUUUUGUUUUCUAUUAAAUAACUUUCAGAACAACUGCUAUUAAAUAUAAUAGUUUAAGGAGAAUAAUGGAUUGAACAGCUGCCUUGAAAAUACGGCUCCCAAAAAAAUAGGGACUCAGUCUUGCCUUAUCUCAGUCUAAGUGGCAGUUUUCCUGUGGAGUUCAACAUCACUGUUUAAUGUGAACUCAUACAAAUAAAUGGCUGAGAAAAGUCAUGGGGAUUUUCUUGCGUGUGUUAGUAACCUAUAUGAAUAGGUACUACACAGAUUCUUGUGUGGUGUUAUUGCAACACAGUAUGUCUUAGAGAUUCUUUUAUUUCCUUUAAUAUACUCCAGUGCUUGGAGUAUGAAGCUGGCAGCAUUCAGCAUCUUAUUUCAAUCAUCAUUUGACACCUCAUUCACUCUUACAAACAUAACUAGCCAGCUCAUCUGUUACCUGCACUGUAUGAUUUUGACUUAAUUUAUUGCACAAUUGUGUUACAUUUGGCAGUCAUUUGUGAAUGUUUUCAGUUCAACAGCAAGUCAUCGACAAACCUAUGGUGAAAGUUACAAUGUUUCAAAGGACAUAUAAUCUGCUGUGCUUUUCAAAAUCCCAAAAUAGGAACUCUAUAAAUUGCUUAGAAGUUUUUUACUCUUACAAACGACUGAUACAACUAACAGCUCUUGCAGAAGAAUUCCAUUUGCAACCUGAGUCAAAACUGCGCUAUGGUUUAUUUCAAACUACUCAAUGUAAAUGUUUACUGAAAAUGGACUGGACUAUGGAUUCCAGAAUGCAAUCAUCGUGCUUUGUUACCUUUAUGUUUGAAAUGUGGAGUAAGGAAUUUUUUGCAUAGGAAUCACCUGAACAAAAAAUGUACAUGCAAACCAUUAUCGAAAUUGUUACAGUUGUUUUUGGAGACUAAGAAUAGUAUGAACAAAUCUUGAUAAUUUAUUUCUUGCAACACUAAAGUGAAAGUUGUUUCUUUAGAAGUCUAGGAGCAAAAAGAAGUCUGGAUCUCUUUCUUUUGAGCUUCAGCUGUAGAAGUACAUGGAAACUAAGGUAAAAAUAAUCUCAUAAAUCUCUAGGGAAUAAAAGUAUGGAUGCAUAUAAAAUCUAAUAAUUU
rnacentral:lncRNA from 1 species